AGAGUUUGAUCAUGGCUCAGAAUGAACGUUGGCGGCGUGGAUUAGGCAUGCAAGUCGAACGAAUCCCAUCUGGGUAACUGGGUGGGGGAAGUGGCGAAAGGGGCAGUAAAGCGUGGGUAACUUGCCUCGGGGACUGGGAUAGCCCUCCUAACGGAGGGGUAAUACCGGGCGCCGUACACGGGAGGCAUCUUCUGUGUACGAAAUGAGUUUCGCCCCGAGAGAGGCUCACGUAGUAUUAGCUAGUUGGUGAGGUAACGGCUCACCAAGGCCAAGAUGCUUAGCGGGUGUGAGAGCACGACCCGCGCCACUGGCACUGUGACACUGGCCAGACUCCUACGGGAGGCUGCAGUCGAGGAUCUUCGGCAAUGGGCGCAAGCCUGACCGAGCGACGCCGCGUGUGCGAUGAAGGCCUUCGGGUUGUAAAGCACUGUCGAGGGGGAGGAAGGGGCAACCUUGACCGACCCCUGGAGGAAGCACGGGCUAAGUUCGUGCCGGCAGCCGCGGUAAGACGAACCGUGCAAACGUUAUUCGGAUUCACUGGGCUUAAAGGGCGCGUAGGCGGGCCAUCAAGUCAGGGGUGAAAUCUUUCGGCUCAACCGGAAAAGUGCCUUUGAUACUGGUGGUCUCGAGGGAGGUAGGGGCAUGCGGAACUUCCGGUGGAGCGGUGAAAUGCGUAGAUAUCGGAAGGAACGCCGGUGGCGAAAGCGGCGUGCUGGACCUCUUCUGACGCUGAGGCGCGAAAGCUAGGGGAGCAAACGGGAUUAGAUACCCUAGUAGUCC
rnacentral:rRNA from 1 species